CCUACGGGAGGCAGCAGUGAGGAAUAUUGGACAAUGGAGGCAACUCUGAUCCAGCCAUGCCGCGUGCAGGAUGACGGUCCUAUGGAUUGUAAACUGCUUUUAUACGAGAAGAAACACUACUUCGUGAAGUAGCUUGACGGUAUCGUAAGAAUAAGGAUCGGCUAACUCCGUGCCAGCAGCCGCGGUAAUANGGAGGAUCCAAGCGUUAUCCGGAAUCAUUGGGUUUAAAGGGUCCGUAGGCGGUUUAGUAAGUCAGUGGUGAAAGCCCAUCGCUCAACGGUGGAACGGCCAUUGAUACUGCUAGACUUGAAUUAUUAGGAAGUAACUAGAAUAUGUAGUGUAGCGGUGAAAUGCUUAGAGAUUACAUGGAAUACCAAUUGCGAAGGCAGGUUACUACUAAUGGAUUGACGCUGAUGGACGAAAGCGUGGGUAGCGAACAGGAUUAGAUACCCUGGUAGUCCACGCCGUAAACGAUGGAUACUAGCUGUUGGGAGCAAUCUCAGUGGCUAAGCGAAAGUGAUAAGUAUCCCACCUGGGGAGUACGUUCGCAAGANUGAAACUCAAAGGAAUUGACGGGGGCCCGCACAAGCGGUGGAGCAUGUGGUUUAAUUCGAUGAUACGCGAGGAACCUUACCAAGGC
rnacentral:rRNA from 1 species